rnacentral:rRNA from 1 species
AACGAACGCUGGCGGCAUGCCUAACACAUGCAAGUCGAACGGAUGCAGCAAUGCAUCAGUGGCAGACGGGUGAGUAACACGUGGGAAUCUACCCAGCAGCCUGGAAUAACCGCGGGAAACUGCGGCUAAUACCGGAUACGCCCCUCGGGGGAAAGGAGCAAUCCACUAUUGGAGGAGCCCGCGUCCGAUUAGCUAGUUGGUGAGGUAACGGCUCACCAAGGCGAUGAUCAGUAGCUGGUUUGAGAGAACGACCAGCCACACUGGGACUGAGACACGGCCCAGACUCCUACGGGAGGCAGCAGUGGGGAAUAUUGGACAAUGGGGGAAACCCUGAUCCAGCAAUGCCGCGUGGGUGAUGAGGGCCUUCGGGUUGUAAAGCCCUUUUGGCGGGGACGAUGAUGACGGUACCCGCAGAAGAAGCCCCGGCUAACUUCGUGCCAGCCGCCGCCGUAA